AGAUUGAACGCUGGCGGCAUGCCUAACACAUGCAAGUCGAACGGGAGUAGCAAUACUCUAGUGGCGGACGGGUGAGGAAUACGUAGGAAUUUGCCCUUAAGUGGGGGAUAACCCGGGGAAACCCGGAUUAAUACCGCAUGACCUCGAAAGAGCAAAGUGGGGGAUCGCAAGACCUCACGCUUUUGGAGAAGCCUACGUCGGAUUAGCUAGUUGGUGAGGUAAUGGCUCACCAAGGCGACGAUCCGUAACUGGUCUGAGAGGAUGAUCAGUCACACCGGAACUGAGACACGGUCCGGACUCCUACGGGAGGCAGCAGUGGGGAAUAUUGGACAAUGGGGCGCAAGCCUGAUCAGCAAUGCCGCGUGUGUGAAGAA
rnacentral:rRNA from 1 species